rnacentral:rRNA from 1 species
AGCAGCCGCGGUAAUUCCAGCUCCAAUAGCGUAUAUUAAAGUUGUUGCAGUUAAAAGCUCGUAGUUGAAUUUCGGGAUUGACACAUCGGUCGUGCCUUAAGGGGUGUGAACUGGUGUAGUCAAUUUCUCACCUUCUGGAGAACCGCGAUGUCCUUAAUUGGGUGCCGCGAGGAACCAGGACCUUUACUUUGAAAAAAUUAGAGUGUUUAAAGCAGGCAUUUUUGCUUGAAUACAUUAGCAUGGAAUAAUAAAAUAGGACGGCAUGAUUCUAUUUUGUGGUUUCUAGGAUCACCGUAAUGAUUAAUAGGGAUAGUUGGGGCAUUAGUAUUCAAUUGUCAGAGGUGAAAUUCUUGGAUUUAUUGAAGACUAACUACUGCGAAAGCAUUUGCCAAGGAUGUUUUCAUUAUCAAGUACGAAAUUAGGGGAUCGAAGACGAUCAGAUACCGUCGUAGUCUUAACCAUAAACUAUGCCGACUAGGAAAUCAGACGAUGUUAAUUUUUUAAUG